rnacentral:snRNA from 1 species
GGAAGUGAAGGUGAUCUAAUUCAACAUGUUGAUCACCAGGGUUGAUUUGGCUGAUCUGGUUGGCUAGGCAGGUGUCCCCUUCCUCCCUCACUGCUCCAUGUGCUUCCCUCACGAAGCUACACCAUUGGUCAAAGAGGACAACAUUCUCAAUAGAGAUGUACUUUUCGUCAGUCAAGGGUAUAUGGCAGCUAUGCUCCCCUUCCAGAACCUCCAAAAAAGCUCAAUGCUACACUGCAGGGGUAGUAUCUAUUAGAUGUCUCUUAUAUUUGUAUCCAAUUUAUUUAUGUGUCUUU